UAAAAACUUAAAAUUUAAAAGACUUGACGGUACUUCACACCAACCUAGAGGAGCCUGUCUAAUAACCGAUAAUCCACGAUUAACCCCACCCCUUAUGGCCCAACAGUCUAUAUACCGCCGUCGCCAGCUUACCUUGUGAAAGAAAAAAAGUAAGCUCAACAACAUCACGCUAACACGACAGGUCGAGGUGUAACUAAUGAAGGGGUAAAGAUGGGCUACAUUUCUUCAAAGAAGACAAACGGAUAAACUAUGAAACUAGAAACUGAAGGCGGAUUUAGCAGUAAGAUAAGAACACAAUACUUAACCGAAAUUAACGCAAUGAAGUGCGC
rnacentral:rRNA from 1 species